UACUCCCGUUAGAGGUGCUGCCACCACGGUGGUUGCUGAGAACACACUCUUGGAACCUGAUUCGGAUAAUGCCGACGAAGGAAAACGGAAGAGCGAACCC
rnacentral:ncRNA from 2 species